UUCGAAGGGGCGGAGCUAUGCGCUACGGAAAGCCCGUGGCUCAAGGGCGGCCGGGUCGGGGGAGGGUCUGUGACCUGGAGGCCCGUCAGAGGGAGCUGGGUUUACAGCGAAGGGCACCGCUGGAAUUGCGGCUCUCCCGCCGCGGUGCUGUGCCAACAGGGGCUGUUUCUAACAUCUCUGGCCUUCAGCUCCAAAAUGAGCACGAUCCUGCAGUGGCCCAGCCAGGUUCCAGCCCUGUCCUCAGCACCCUGAAUGGACAUGUGCAAUCCAGCGUCAGAGGCAUCUCAUGACUUCUAAGACAUUACUUGGCAGAGCUGCAGACACUUAAAAUGGGAUACCUGCCUGCCUGUCCUCCAAAGCAGUCCCCUGGACACUUCUCCUUCACAGCACAUACCACAGCCGUCAUUUUAUCCUCACUUGAUGAUUUUGUUAAUAAAUUCAACCCUCUACCUCAGAGUGAGUCGAAAUGACUUAAGGGAUGUGCUCAGAAGUUUUAGGAAAAGAUCCCUCUGUGGUAAGAACUAUAUGUGACCCAUCCAAGUACUCACACAGCUAUCCCUCCACAAUUGUGGGUGAGAAAGGUCUUCCCAUAUUACUUUGCAAGUUCUUCCAUCGUUUGAACUUUUUUUAUAUUCAGCUUAUAUCACUUUUAUACUUUUUAAACUAAUUUGUAAAAAAAAUUAAAAAGUGCCUUUAGGUCAGCUCUCAUCCAAGAGAUACCCUCCCUGUUUCCAAAGCCUCAGAUACACCCACCCACACUCGGGAUAGACAGCAGUGGUGGAACCCUUCCUCCACCAGGCAAGGCAUGUGUCCUGACCACAAGCAGAAAAGUCAAGCAUGAAGGACAAGACCGCUCCUGUGGGUAUGUUGCCAUAGCUUCUUUGCCCCUUUCCCAGCCAGGUACAUGGUGCGGGCUGGGGUAAAAGGGUUGGAGGCUGAAGAGG